rnacentral:sRNA from 1 species
GAAGCUUUAACACAAACACGCAUUGCAAAAGCAAAGACACUCUCAACUUUUCGCCUCUGCUUCAGUUCUUUGCGCUCUCACCAACUGCAGUGGGAAGAGAGGGUCAUGAGCAUAAACUCAAGCAACUACACACACACACAAAUUGCAAAAGCAAAACGAGAGCUUAAAUGCUCUCACCUAUUACGGUUCGUUCACCUACAAAUGACCGAAUGCUUUGUCAAAUUUGAGCUCCCAGCGCAAACGCACGUUUUUCCGUGCCGUGGAGUAAAAUAAUCUUGAAAAUUAUUGGAAAAUGAUCGGAAAAUAUAUAAAAACCCGUGUGAUAAGUGUAGCAAGUAUUUAUAAUAAAAAUGCGCCAGAAAAGUCUUGUAACAAGUCGAAAAAAGUAUUGUGAAAAGCCGGAAAAGUGAUGAAAAAUUGUCGAAAAUGCAGGAAAAUGCAAUCCCAUGUGUGUGAAGAGCCAAAGGUUUGGGAAUAAUUGAAAAAAAAGAUCGCAGCAAGUGAGAAAACCGCGCCAGACAAAAUUGAGCGAAAUGCAUGGCACCAGGUCAUGAUGUCACCUUUCAGCUUGAGUUUUUUUUUUCAUUCUUUUCUGCGUGAGUUAGAUUCAAGCAGGGCGUCAUCUUUUCGGCAAGGGGUGAAAGGCUGAGGCCGACAAGGAAUAUAAGGCGAUACUGGCAAAAAUUCAGUGAAUGUGCGAGUUUUUUUCCCUUUCUUUUUUUCCUUUUUUUUUUGUGCGAGAGUUGGAGCGAAGCAGGAUGGCCAUCAAGACGGCAAGGAGUGCAAUGCGGCAAGCAGUGCAAGGCGAUAUUGGCAAAAAGUGAGUGAGUGUCAGUGAAAACCGUACAAAUAUAAAUGUACCGCAGGAACUAUAUAAAAAGAAAUAUUGAGCGCAAUGCGUGGAAGUAAACAAUUAGAGUUUUUUUUUCUGUGAGUGCUAGAUGGUCAUCAAGACGGCAAGGGGUGCACGGCGGCAAGCAGUGCAAGGCGAUAUUGGCGAAUAGUGAGUGAAAGUGGAGGAUGGUCAUCAGGACGGCAAGGGGUGCCAGGCGGCAAGCAGUGCAAGGCGAUAUUGGCAAAAAGUGAGUGAAAGUGCGUGAGUGAAGAGAAGAACGAUAAAAUGUACCGCAAAAACUAAAUAAAAAAGAGCGACAAGCAGUACAAAACUAAAAGCAGUGCAAGGCGAUGAAAGCCAAAACUGAGUAAAACUGGGAGUGGAAAUAAGAACAAUGGAAUCCACAGAAAUGAAUAAAGACCGGCAAGCAGUACAAGCCAAGAAGAGCAAAGAGAGUUGUGUCGAUUUAAAUGAAAGACCUAUCUGCAGAGCACUCAACAGUCCAAUCUUAUGCUAAUUUAAUGGACAUGGAAAUCCCUGCGGAGCGAGAGGUAAGCACUUCAUUAACAAACUACUAAAAACUACAAAACCGAGACGCCGCCUAAGAUAUCGCAUUACAUAAACCCCUGGGCCCCCCCUCGAAAGGCCAACCCCAGAAAUGGGAAACGAAAACGGAGAUGAUGGAGCAGCGGAGGCGCGUGGGUGGCCUGGGUAUUCCGUAUUCCAAUAAAACUUUUCAUUUUAGUUCAAACUCUGUGUGGACAGUUUUUGGUGGCAGGUCCAGGUUUUUGAGUUAGUUCCUCAUUAAUA